rnacentral:rRNA from 1 species
UACAGAGGUGGCGAGCGUUGUUCGGAUUUACUGGGCGUAAAGGGCGCGUAGGCGGCGCGGCGUGUCGGGUGUGAAAUCCAUGGGCCCAACCCAUGAAGUGCGCCCGAAACUGCCGCGCUGGAGUGCGGGAGGGGAGGUCGGAAUGCAGGGUGUAGCGGUGAAAUGCGUUGAUAUCCUGCAGAACACCGGUGGCGAAGGCGGACCUCUGGAACGCUACUGACGCUGAGGCGCGAAAGUCGGGGGAGCAAACAGG